UUUAUCUUUAAUUGAAUUUGCAGAAAUCUCAUCUUCGAAGAUUGGGUGGCAUUAUUUUUGUGGAUCACAUGAAAAGAGCAAUGCUUAGGACAACGUCAAACAAUUUGAUGUCAAGAAUGAAUGUUGAUGGACGAAACGGCAAGUUUUCCUUUAAAAAUACAAGGUUGUAUUCAAUCAUCUCUGAAUGUGUCCUAUCUCAGGAUGGGAAUGCAACCGAAGCAAAUUUCAAGAAAGAGUUAGGAACCUUUCUGAAGUAUGCACCUGACCCUCAGGGUGGGA